AGACCAGUUAGUAGAUGCUGCUUGGAAAUGAAGGCCAGGACCUUUUCUAUAGUGCUUUCUUCUGGAAUAGGGCUGGAUUGUCCUCACACAGCCUUGGUGUGUCUGGACUAGAAGUGCUGCCUGUGUUGGGUCCCCAUGUGGCUGUUGAUACCUCUCCUUUCCCACUCCUCCUGCAGCAUGUGGCUCAUUGUGAUACAAAUAUCUCAUCCUUGCCUGGGGAGAAAAGGAGUUUGCAGGUGGCUUCACCAUAUGCUGUCACUGCCCAUGUUGUAUUUGGUUUGCGGAUGAAUGGAUAUCUCUUCAGGCAUGAAGAUGCUGCUGAAGAAGAAUUGUGGAGCGAAGACUAGAGUAAUUAAAAUUCAUAGCAUCAAUGGAGGCUGCCCGCCACCCCACUUUGUGUAUGAUCCAUCCACCUUUGCCUUCCGUUCCCUCAGCACCUUGAAGCCGCUGAGCCCAAUAGCUCCAGUGGAAGAACCGUCAUGUGCCUACUGAAGGAGUUUCUCCAAAAACCUCAGGAACUAUGAUCCAACCACCUGCCUGGCAGGGAGAAGGGGAGGUGGUGAUACCCAAGGGAUGGGUGGGAGAAGAAGAGGACAUUGACACUUCUUUGUAGUACAGCUUUUCUGACAACAGGAAGCAUAUGGCUUUGCAGCAGUGCCUGUUUUCAUACCAAUGCCAUAUCUGAAUAAUGGCAAAGGGAGAGAUUUUGUCUCUCAGGACAAAACAAACCAAUCAGGUGCACAAACCAAGGGCAGCCACCAAGGCAAUGUCAAACCUGGGGAUGGUGGUGGUUGAUAUCUCUGAGGGGUCCAGGUCCUAGUAUGGCCUAUAUGGCAGCAGGGACAAGUGGUCCAUGGGUGUGAAACCAUGUUUCUAGUCAGUUUACCAAGAGUGCCUGUGUCUACAGUGCUUUGCUAUAGACCUGAUCCUUCUCUCACUCAGAAUUGAACUCAGGAUUGGAGACAGAGGCUAUACAGGGCUGCCUGCAAAGCAAGAAGAUUCCUCUCUGAUAUUGCUAUAAUUGCAUUAACUUCAAGCUCUUCUGAAUGGAAGACCGUUGGGGAGGGGCUGUGGAGAGGUAGCAGGCACAUCUAGCUGUGACUUCCAGCUGGUCUGCUGGCAACUCAGUGAUAAUUAUCUAGAAGGGGAUUGAAAUGAGAGAGGCAUGAGCUCCCACUUGUAGAGUAAAACUCUAGAAUGGAAGGUCUGUGUUCAGCCAUCUGAGAAAGCACAGCACCCACCCUCAGUCCUCAGCAUUAUCAGAGAGAACAGCUUGGGGGUGACUGGGUGCCAUUGGGCUCCUCUCUGCUGAGGCUGUGUUCUGGAAUAUGCAGCAUUUCUCCACAGCAUUACCCUGCUGCCCUAGCAUGAUGCUAAAAGUAAUUGCUAUCACCAAACUCAACCAAAUCUAAUGUCUCCAGCAGGCUUUCCACUCCCCUGUUAUGCUGGCUAGUAAAUUCAGGUACACUUAUAUCAGUGGAACAAGUAUUCCCAGACGUAGCAUAAAGUGGAAGAAAGAAGUCUCUGUUUUGUGGCCACUUACUGGUGGAAGAAGCAAGAGGGGAGUUCGAGCAAAGCUAAGGAACAUUUCUCCAUACAGUCUUAAGGCAACUGGGACCAUGCUAGGCCUUACUACCACUGGAGUUUGACUGUGAUCUGUCCUUGAGGUGUGUAUGCAUUCUGUGCUACAAGGCAACAACUAAUAGAACAAGGUUUUACCUCUUUCGGUGAGGCAGAGGAGCAAGGCAUUUCCCCUUGCUGCACCUGGCAGAGAGAAUAACCUCUUUGUCUGAGUAUUCCCCACCUUGAGCCUCUAUCAUGCUGAGUGCAAGGGGAGUGAGCAGUUUACUUUUUGCCUGGAUCAAGAGGAGCGACUGUGAGUAAAAUACUUGUUUUUAACUCUGCUGCAACGUGGAGGUCUUUGAUGCCACUCUGUGGAUGAGACCAAUGGUCAGUCUGGCUGCCACUAAGAGGCUACACAGUGAACCAGCAUUUACUGGUGCUUUCUGGGCCCUUCACUGAGACCCUUGGGGAAAGCCCAGAGGCUGUGGAGGCCUGGGGACUCAAAUCCCCAUCUCUAUCAUCCUCCCUCCCCAGCCGCCUCUCACUCAGACAGGCAGAACAGCUGGGCAAGGCAGUGAGGGAACAUCUGUCCAGAUGCUGACCCAGCUCUGCCUGCUCUUUGGCUCCAGGCCACCACAGCUGGCCCACCCCCCGCACCAGCAUCACCUCCAAGGGUGUGCUUGCUUUUGUUGGUGAGGUACCUCUGGCAGAGCAUCGUGGCUCCCUGCAGCAAGUCCCCUUUUCCAGGGAAGGCCAAUUCCUUUGCUGAAUCUUCCUGCCCCUAUAGAGACUCUGCUUGUCUUGUUUUGAUGGCACACCUCUGCUUUUUAACUGCUGCCGAUCAACCUGACCAGUGCAGGACAGGAAGCAUCGGCCCUUCAGACCAAAUCCCUGUGCUCAGGACAUGUGGUCCCUGUCUGAAGAGCCACGUUCCCCAUGCAGAUGGCUGGGGCAGCAGCCCCUGCAUAGCCCCAGGCUUUGCUCAGCAAGAGCUGCUGAGGUGCUUGGCUGUGUUUCUGCCAACCCAUGGGUGCUGCCAGCUGCCCUCCCCAGGUGGGAGCACAGGGAUGUCCUGCCAAUAUCGAUGCCUUUUAGUACUUUUGUAACUUUUCUUGUCUUUUUGAAUUGAUAAAAUAAUUAAAAAGCAAUGAAAUAAAGUGUAACAGCUGCUAUAUUCA
rnacentral:lncRNA from 14 species